rnacentral:tRNA from 2 species
GCCCUGUUAGCUCAGAUGGUAGAGCAUCAGACUUUUAAUCUGAGGGUCAUGGGUCCGAGCCCCAUAUCGGGCG